CUAACUCUGUGAGUCCAAAUACGGACUAGGCGCAGAGCUUCGGUGGUAACAUCGGAGGAGAAAAUCUCGCUAUAUGCUGGAAACUCUAUUUAUGUCCGCUGUAAUUCCUGAUAAAAUCAAUAUAUCAGGACGCGUAAAUAGACAAUCAGCAGGCAACUCGCUGAAGUUUUGUGAAGCAAAACCUAAGCGGAGAGUCCUCAGAGACUACACGCGAGACCCCGCCAAUAUCUAUAAGUUGUGGCGGGUGAUGAUAUAGUCCAGUUAAAUCGUAUGAAUGAA
rnacentral:ncRNA from 1 species